ensembl:lncRNA
GGCUGGUGUCAGUGAUGAUAUCUGCAAGGAUGGAAAGUCCCCACUGGGACUGCUUGUAUGUACUCUCCUGAAAUACUGGAUUCAGUGGUGCCAGCUUAAUGGCCAGGAGAAGUUUUGUACCAAGAACUAACCGAUCAGUGUUUUUUUUUUUAAACAGGGUCUGGUUCUGUCACCCAUGCUGGAGUGCAGUGGUACAGUCUUGGCUCACUGCAGCUUUGGCCCCGUGGGCUCAAGUGAUCCUCCCACCUCAGCCUCCUGACUAGCUGGGACUUCAGGCAUGUGCCACCAAGCCCAGCUACUUUUUGUAGUUUUUGCAGAGACAAGUUUCGCCAUGCUGUCCAGGCCAUAUGCUGCUGGUGAGCGUGGUGGGAUGUGUUUAUGUUGGAUACAACCUGGAGCCCUGCACCGGAGCAUCUCACUACCAGGAGAACUGGUGUGGUGGAGGAGAGAAGCGUGAAGCCAUUUCUAUCCCAGCACACCCAGCGGCAGCUGCUGAGCUGAAGGUGUUUCUGCAGCAAGCGUCCUCUUCUCAUCUGCGUGCUGACUGCACAGACAGGGCAAAGUCUGUAUCUUUCCAAUCUGUGUGUACACAGGCCAAUUUGUCAUUAGCUCUGCAAAAGUCAUGAGAGGAGGUUUAAUUUAAUAAAUUAAAAUGUAAUUCCCAAACACAAGUUUAUAACCAACACUUUCAUCUGCAUUGAGCAAGGCUUUAUCACUUAGUUGUAAAGGUGAAAAGGACUAAUGCUUACACUGAGAACCCACUAAGUCUCACAACAUUAUGAGACAGGUACUAUUUUGUCCCGUCCCCUAGCUCCUCUGGGCAUUGUGCCAAAUGGUGGUGGUGAUGAUGGGUGUUGGUACUGGCAAGCAGCAGGAAAGGGGUUUCAAAGGCAGUGCUAGGGCUGCCUGCCACUGAGUCAUCCUGGGAGUCAUCUCUGGAUAAAUGGGUAUGACCAACAGCACUGUGAUGGUCGAGGGUACCAGCAUGACACCUGUAUAACUCCAUCUAAUUAUGUUGGACUCAAUUUUGUGCCUACACUGAGGGAUAAUGUUGAUUCAAUCACUCGUGUCUUACAGUAACACCUUUUUUUUUUUUUUUUUUUUGAGACAGAGUCUUGCUCUGUCGCCAGGCUGGAGUGCAGUGGCGCAAUCUCGGCUCACUGCAACCUCCACCUUCUGGGUUCAAGCAAUUCCCCUGCCUCAGCCUCCCGAGUAGCUGGGACUACAGGUGCGCACCAACACGCCUGGCUAACUUUUCAUAUUUCAGUAGAGACGGGGUUUCACCAUGUUGGCCAGGAUGGUCUCAAUCUCCUGACCUGGUGAUCCGCCCGCCUCAGCUUGCUAAAGUGCUGAGAUUACAGGCGUGAGCCACCGCACCCAGCCAACACCAUGAUUUUAAAAAUAAGACCAGGUUUCAAUGUCUCUGAGGGUAUCAGAUUCAUCAAAGGGGCUUGGACACUUGAGUAUGGAUGCACCCAUGAAACCUGACUUUCCAUUUUGUCUGGCUGAUAAACAGCUUAGGGGUGGGAGAAAAAAAUCAUCCUCUACAGAAAAGAUCUACACCCAAGAGGCAGUAAGGUAUAGCAGUUACAAGCACAGAUUUGGGGUAUAGAAUUUGGAUUCAGAUUGAGAUUUAUCAUCCACAUUCUCUUAUUUCAUGUGUGACGUUAGGUGAGUUAUUUAACCUUUUUCUUCACUUUCUUCAGCUAUGAAAUGGAGAUGAUAUAUAUAGUGCUUAUCUUCCAUAGAAGUUAUGAAUAUCAAAUGAAUUAAUAUAUAUAAAGCAUUUAAAGCAGUGCCUGGGCAGCCAGUCUCUAUUUUUCCUUUAUUGGCUAUAUGUUAGCUGAUAGGGUACAGAAGUCCAUGACCCUACUCAUUCCAGCUUUGUUUUGUCCAAACUGUUGUGCAAAGAGGAUAAGCAGGAUUUUAAAUUAUGUGCUGGGUUGUGCUGGCAUAGUACCCCACAAAAUAAAUCACAACGCCUUUAUUUUAGAGCAGCUGGAAAUGGACACCUUUAAUGGACAGGGGAGUCCAUUUAGCAAUGUCAAUAUGUAUUUGCUAUUAUUGUUGUUAUGACACUGGUAUCAGUUUACUGGGGCUCCCAUAACAAAGUACCACAGACUAGGUGGCUUAAAUAAUAUAAAUUUGUUUCUGCACAGUUUUGAAGACUAGGCAUCCAAGAUCAAUGUGUCAAUAGGGUUGGUUCCUUUAAAGGCCCAUGAAAGAAGGGUGUGUUCUAGGCCUUUCUCCUUGGCUUGAAGAUUACCAUCUUUCCCUUUCUUUUCAUUUCCCUUUUCUUCUGCAUGCAUCAGUGUCCAAAUUUCGUCUUCUUAUAAGGACACCAGUCAUAUUGGAUUUGGGCUCACUUGUGACGACCCUGUCUUCAAAAAGGUCACAUUUUGAGGUACUAGGGUUUAAGACUCCAAUGUAUGAAUCUUUGGAGGGCAUAAUUCAGCCCGUAAUAGUGCCUAAGCAAGGCUUUUGGUGAAACUCACUUUCAGAGUAAAUUUUGUUCUUACAGAGGUUGACUGUUUUUUCCUUUUUUGAGUAAUCAUUGUAAAUUUUCUGCCUUUCUCAUAUUAUCUCCUACUUUUAAACUAUUUUUAAGAAUCUAAAUAAAUAUCUUGGUCAAAGUUCUAUAGAUGCUGAGCUGGGUACAGUUUUGGCAUCUGUAGUCCCAGUUACUUGGGAGGCUGAGGUGGGAGGAUCUCAUGAGCCCAGGAGUCCAAGAGCAGCCUGGGCAACACAGUGAGAGCUUAUCUGUUAAAAAGAAAACAAACAUUCUAUGGAUGCUGAAUAGAAUGGAUUCAAUGGUAUCUUCCCCAGAGGAAAAAAUCCAUGAAAUGGAUUUUUUUUUUUUUUUUAAACCAUUCAAAUGGUAACCUAAUACCUAAAUUUAGCGGCAGGGUCAUUUUAAUACAUUUAAACUUUUUUGUUGGAUCCAGCUUUAUUAUGUUAUUAUUGAUAACAACCAUAAGUAAUCAUGUUUUCAAUGGAUUUCUUAACUAAUUCAGUUAAGAAAUGCUAUGUCACUCAGUCACUAAAUGUUGGUGGCCUGCAUGAUUCAUUGUCUCUGUUUGUGAGCAGGGACUGGUCAGGUCUGGUGAAUACUAGGGGAAUUCACCUGGGGUUUGACUGGUCCACAGACUAGCCACUCAGGCUGUGUGUGUUAGGUAAGAGUUUUUGAGUGGCAAAUAUCAGAAAUCAACUCCAGUUAGCUUAAGCAGAAAAAGGACUACAUUGGGAGGAUACCAGGAAAUCUCACUGAAUCCCAGGAAUCACUAAAGUCCCAGGCCCCCAGGAGGCUGAGGACCAGGGCAGGAAUUUUGGGCAUUUGUCAGGUCUCUUCCAUUUGUCCCUCCAGCUUCACUCUCUUUCUCUCCUGCUCUGUGCUUCUAUGGACUGUAUUGAUGGGUGUUAUGAACCGUAGCAAUAGGCUCCUGUGCCCUUUAACUUUUGGUUGUGUUUGGGCAGUGAUGUAUUUUGUCAGGAGAUCAGAGGAAGCAAGGGGAGUGAGGCCAGCAGUUCAUAUCCUACCUUGGCUGUACCUUGGGUAAUGCCUUGGGCUAAUCAAGUCCCUUGGCCAGUAGUCACAGGUUGUCUGCAGAUGGCCUUCUGGGCAUGACUUUCUCCUUCCAAGCUCUAGUAACCACUCCUGUGUUUUAUUCCUUUGGUCCUAGAUGUGGUAACAGCUCUGCUUUUCCCACCCCCAGGGUUCUGUACUAUCCCUUGUGGUUUCUCUACACCUUGACUAGUUCUAUGCUGGGCUAUGUUGGAGCUUGAGGCAAAAGGAAAUAUCAGUGGUAUGGUUUGGAUCAGUGUCCCUACCCAAAUCUCAUGUUCAAUUGUAAUCCCGAGUGUUGGAGGAGGGGCCUGGUGGGAGGUGAUUGGGUCAUGAGGGCAGAGUUCUCGUGAAUGGGUUAGCACCGUCCCCUCAGUGCUGUUCUUGUGAGGGUGAGUGGGUGAGUUAUGAGAUGUGGUUGUUUAAAAGUGUAUGGCACCUCCCCUCUCUCUUCCUCCUGCACUGGUCCUGUGAAGGGCAUCGCUCUCUCUUCACCUUCCACCAUGGCUGAAAGUUUCCUGAGGCCUCCCCAGAAGUUGAGCAGAGGCCAGCCUCAUGCUUCCUGUACAGCCCACAGAACGUGAGCCAAUUAAACCUCUUUUCUUUAUAAAUUAUCCAGUCUCAAGUAUUUCUUUAUAGCAAUGUGAG